AUAUUAAUAUUUGAAUACAUCUAAAAAGUUACAAAAGAUUCUAUAAAUGAAGCUAUAUCUUGAUACAUAUUCUUCUAACAAUAUCAUUCUUUCAAUUUAGCAAAAAUAGUCCAAAUUCUUCUAUGACCUGCCUUUAGAUUAUCAUGAAAUUUCAUAAGUAGUCUAUAUUGAUCUUUCUUGGUACCUACUACUCAUCGUGGCAUCCCAAUAUUUGAUUUUGGCCUCUUCCAUAUAAAUCUUC
rnacentral:lncRNA from 1 species